rnacentral:rRNA from 1 species
GACGAACGCUGGCGGCGUGCUUAACACAUGCAAGUCGAACGGUAAGGCCCUUCGGGGUACACGAGUGGCGAACGGGUGAGUAACACGUGGGUGAUCUGCCCUGCACUUCGGGAUAAGCCUGGGAAACUGGGUCUAAUACCGGAUAGGACCACUGCCUGCAUGGGUGGUGGUGGAAAGCUUUUGCGGUGUGGGAUGGGCCCGCGGCCUAUCAGCUUGUUGGUGGGGUGAUGGCCUACCAAGGCGACGACGGGUAGCCGGCCUGGGAGGGUGACCGGCCACACUGGGACAGAGAUACGGCCCAGACUCCUACGGGAGGCAGCAGUGGGGAAUAUUGCACAAUGGGCGCAAGCCUGAUGCAGCGACGCCGCGUGAGGGAUGACGGCCUUCGGGUUGUAAACCUCUUUCGGCACCGACGAAGCGCAAGUGACGGUAGGUGCAGAAGAAGGACCGGCCAACUACGUGCCAGCCGCCGCAGUAA